rnacentral:rRNA from 1 species
AUUGAACGCUGGCGGCAUGCUUUACACAUGCAAGUCGAACGGUAACAGGCCGCAAGGUGCUGACGAGUGGCGAACGGGUGAGUAAUGCAUCGGAACGUGCCCAGUCGUGGGGGAUAACUGCUCGAAAGAGCAGCUAAUACCGCAUACGAUCUAUAGAUGAAAGCGGGGGACCGGAAGGCCUCGCGCGAUUGGAGCGGCCGAUGUCAGAUUAGGUAGUUGGUGGGGUAAAGGCUCACCAAGCCAACGAUCUGUAGCUGGUCUGAGAGGACGACCAGCCACACUGGGACUGAGACACGGCCCAGACUCCUACGGGAGGCAGCAGUGGGGAAUUUUGGACAAUGGGGGCAACCCUGAUCCAGCAAUGCCGCGUGCAGGAAGAAGGCCUUCGGGUUGUAAACUGCUUUUGUACGGAACGAAACGGUCUGGGUUAAUACCCUGGGCUAAUGACGGUACCGUAAGAAUAAGCACCGGCUAACUACGUGCCAGCCGCCGCCGUAACAC